GACGAACGCUGGCGGCGUGCUUAACACAUGCAAGUCGAACGGUGAAAGCGGAGCUUGCUCCGCUGGAUCAGUGGCGAACGGGUGAGUAACACGUGGGCAACCUGCCCCAGACUUCGGGAUAACUCUUCGAAAGAGGCGCUAAUACCGGAUAUGAACUCUGCAGGCAUCUGCGGAGUUGGAAAGUUUUUCGGUCUGGGAUGGGCCCGCGGCCUAUCAGCUAGUUGGUGAGGUAGUGGCUCACCAAGGCGACGACGGGUAGCCGGCCUGAGAGGGCGACCGGCCACACUGGGACUGAGACACGGCCCAGACUCCUACGGGAGGCAGCAGUGGGGAAUAUUGCGCAAUGGGCGAAAGCCUGACGCAGCAACGCCGCGUGCGGGAUGAAGGCCUUCGGGUUGUAAACCGCUUUCAGCAGGGAAGAAGCGAAAGUGACGGUACCUGCAGAAGAAGCACCGGCUAACUACGUG
rnacentral:rRNA from 1 species